CCUANGGGUGGCUGCAGUCGAGAAUUUUUCACAAUGGGCGCAAGCCUGAUGGAGCGACGCCGCGUGGGGGAUGAAUGGCUUCGGCCCGUAAACCCCUGUCAUUCGGGAUCAAUGCGUCUGGGUGAACAUCCCAGGCGUUGAUAGUACCGGAAGAGGAAGGGACGGCUAACUCUGUGCCAGCAGCCGCGGUAAUACAGAGGUCCCAAGCGUUGUUCGGAUUUACUGGGCGUAAAGGGUGCGUAGGCGGUCGGGUAAGUCUGGUGUGAAAUUUCGGAGCUCAACUCCGAAACGGCAUUGGAUACUAUUCGGCUAGAGGUUGGGAAGGGAGACUGGAAUUCUCGGUGUAGCAGUGAAAUGCGUAGAUAUCGAGAGGAACACCAGUGGCGAAGGCGAGUCUCUGGACCAAUCCUGACGCUGAGGCACGAAAGCCAGGGGAGCAAACGGGAUUAGAUACCCCANUANUC
rnacentral:rRNA from 1 species